rnacentral:rRNA from 1 species
GAUGAACGCUAGCGGCAGGCUUAACACAUGCAAGUCGAGGGGCAGCAUGGGACGGAGAUUCGUCGAAGUCCUGAUGGCGACCGGCGCAAGGGUGCGUAACGCGUGAGCAACUUGCCCGUUUCUGGGGAAUAACCGGUGGAAACGCCGACUAAUACCCCAUGGCAUCAAUGAGAGGCAUCUUUUGUUGAUUAAAGAAUUUCGGAAACGGAUAGGCUCGCGUGACAUUAGCUAGAUGGCGGGGUAACGGCCCACCAUGGCGACGAUGUCUAGGGGUUCUGAGAGGAAGGUCCCCCACACUGGAACUGAGACACGGUCCAGACUCCUACGGGAGGCAGCAGUGAGGAAUAUUGGUCAAUGGUCUGACGACUGAACCAGCCA